AUGACCUUAAUAGAUUUCAUAGAGCUGAGUGACGAUAAUAUUAUUGACUUGAGCAGCGAUGAGGAGACUGUUCAAGAGGAUCAGAUUGCAACUCAACACCGGGCGAUGUUGUUUUAUAAGCAGGGUGUGUUUGUCCUAGCUGGUGAAGGAAGCCGAGGGGUGCAGGCCGUGUUUGUUGCAGCUGGUGAAGGAAGUCAAGAUGUGCAGGCCGUGUUUGUUGCAUCCAGUGAAGGAAGGCAAGAGGCUUCUGAGCCCGGACAUGCUUUGGAAGCUACCGCAUCGUCCAUGAUUAUGGAGGAAGCACCUCUUGUUGCAACUAGUCAAGGAAGUCAAGAUGUGCAGGCUGUGUCUGUUGCAGCUAGUGAAGUAAGGCAAGAUGGGCAGGUUGUGUUUGUUGCAGCUAGGGAAGGGAGGCAAGAGGCUUCUGAGCACGGACAUGCUUUGGAAGCUACCGCAUUGUCCUUGGUUACGGAAAAACCACCUGUUGAUACGGUUGUGCUCGCUCUCCCACAUGCUGGAUCACCGAAUUGUCUUCGCUCUCCAACAUCAACGCCAUUCGCCGGCCUGACUUCCACCACUCCGAAGGCUCUGACGUCUGAAGGUGGCGACACAAAGCUGGUGAGAGCAAAGGUGAAACGUCCUAGGAAGAACCACCAUACCGGCACUCCUAAAGCUGUGACUUCUGAAGGUGGCGACUUAAAGCUCGUGAGACUGGAGACGAAACAUCCUAAGAAGAAGAACCAUACAGAAAAACCACCUCUUGGUACGGCUGUCCUCGCUCUCCAACAUGCUGAAUCGCCGAUUUGUCCUUGCACAUCAGCGCCAUUCCCCGGCCUAACUUGCACCAGCCCGAAGGCUCUGUCCUCAGAAGGUGGCGACGCAAAUCUGGUGAGCGGGAAGGUGAAACAUCGUAGGAAGAACUACUGA
rnacentral:rRNA from 1 species